GGGCGCAUGGUGUAGUUGGUUAUCACAUCCGCUUAGCAGCAAAUGUUGUACUUGCGGGGGGUGCUGGGUUCAAUUCCCAGUGUGUCCA